rnacentral:rRNA from 1 species
UUUCCCCCUGAACGAACCGUCGAUGUCGACUAGGUUAUAGACGCACAUAUGAGGCUGAUAAUUCAGGCAACAACACUGAUUAGUGUGAUUCAGGCAUGGGUCGUGUUCAUGCACCAGAGAGCUAUUCGUCAUGCUGGGAGACCAUUGAUCCGCUAUGGUCCAUUGUUUAUCCGGAAACAGGAGAGGAUCCAAAAUCUGAACUACAUCUACAACUGCAAUGACGUCGAGGCUCUGUGGAUGCUUCGAAUGAAAAUAUCACCAUUUUCCAGGCUUGUCGAGACCUUCAGGAGCAGGGGGCUGCUACAAGAUAACAUCAACACCAGCGUGGAAGAGCAAGUGGCCAUGUUCUUUCACGUUGUUGGCCAUAACUAGAGGUUCAGGGUCAUUGACAACACGUUCAAGAGAUCAAUGGAGACCAUCUCUAGGUACUUCAAGUAGGUGCUUUUUGUUGUUGGGGAGCUUAGAGGAGAGAUGAUGAGGAGACCAUCUGGCCGGACUCCACCCAAAAUUCGCUUAAACCUAAGAUGGUAUCCAUACUUCAAGGUGAGCAUUGACAAUAACACUUUUCAUGGCUUGAUAUGCUUGUAUUGUUCAAGUUGA